rnacentral:rRNA from 1 species
UACGUAGGGUGCGAGCGUUAAUCGGAAUUACUGGGCGUAAAGUGUGCGCAGGCGGCCGAGCAAGUCGAGUGUGAAAGCCCCGAGCUUAACUUGGGAACUGCGCUCGAAACUACUUGGCUAGAGUGUGGCAGAGGGAGGUGGAAUUCCACGUGUAGCGGUGAAAUGCGUAGAGAUGUGGAGGAACACCGAUGGUGAAGGCAGCCUCCUGGGCCAACACUGACGCUCAUGCACGAAAGCGUGGGGAGCAAACAGG